GUAGCACUUCCAAAGUACUUAGAAGAGCCUUAAAGCAUAAUAUCAAACAUGGUAAAAAUGUUGUUUCUGUGCAGUUUUUUAUAUAUAGUCUGAGCAACCCCCCUUUUGGAAUAAUUGGCCUACUCUUGCAGGGAGAGGCUUUACCUGUAGGUAAGCAUUCAGAAGUGGUGAUGUUAAUUUGUGGUCUGCAAUAAAACAUGAAGUACAGCAUUUCCAAUGAUGUAGGUUUUUGUAUGUGUUUUUUCUUUUUUUAGACCUGCUGUGGCUAGAAAAUUGUUAAUUUGAACUUUCAAAUGGCUUCAGCAUAUGUUCCUGCAGUCUGCUGCAUGAGUGCUCUCCUCCUAUCCAGAAAGGACGGGCUUGGCAAGCAGAUCAAGAUGGUUCUCAGAGUGAAUCUUGAUGGGUAUUGAUAAGGAUGUUGAUCACUCAUUGUGGCGUUACCUUCCCAUUGGGAAAUGAGAAGUGACCAUGUAAAAGAAACAAAUCUGGGAGUUUGGUUCCGAACACUUUCAGGAAACACUUACUGAUCUUUUGCUAUCAUCUGACAGCAUUAAGGAAGAAUAUGGGCCAUGUUGUCUUCCCUAUCUGUGUCAUACUCCUGUAAAUAUAAUUGAGGAUAAUGUGGAAUUGUUUGUUUAGAUUGCCCUACUAAACAUGUUGAAACAAUGAAGUCUGUCACAAUGCAGGAUGUUGAUACAAUUCGAGUGUUGUAACUACAAAAAGAUGAGAGAAACCAUGUAUUUGUAUCAUGAGCAAUUGCCUAAGAUUACACUGUGGCUUGUGAAACUUAUAAAUUACUGAAGUUACCUCUAACUCCUAUUAGAACCACACACACACAAAAAAAAAAAGGAAGGAAAAAAGCAACAGACUAUUGCCUGCACUUUCUGUAUUUGG
rnacentral:lncRNA from 1 species